UACGUAGGGGGCAAGCGUUGUCCGGAAUUAUUGGGCGUAAAGAGCGUGUAGGCGGUUUGUCGCGUCUGCUGUGAAAUUUCGGGGCUCAACCCCGAACUUGCAGUGGGUACGGGCAGACUAGAGUGUGGUAGGGGAGACUGGAAUUCCUGGUGUAGCGGUGAAAUGCGCAGAUAUCAGGAGGAACACCGAUGGCGAAGGCAGGUCUCUGGGCCACUACUGACGCUGAGAAGCGAAAGCAUGGGGAGCGAACAGG
rnacentral:rRNA from 1 species